GAUGAAGAACGUAGCGAAAUGCGAUAAGUAAUGUGAAUUGCAGAAUUCAGUGAAUCAUCGAAUCUUUGAACGCACAUUGCGCCCCCUGGUAUUCCGGGGGGCAUGCCUGUUCGAGCGUCAUUUCACCACUCAAGCCUCGCUUGGUAUUGGGCAACGCGGUCCGCCGCGUGCCUCAAAUCGACCGGCUGGGUCUUCUGUCCCCUAAGCGUUGUGGAAACUAUUCGCUAAAGGGUGUUCGGGAGGCUACGCCGUAAAACAACCCCAUUUCUAAGGUUGACCUCGGAACAGGUAGGGAUACCCGCUGAACUUAAGCAUAUCAAAAGCGGAGGA
rnacentral:misc_RNA from 1 species